rnacentral:rRNA from 1 species
GGUUGCGAUCAUACCAGCACUAAAGCACCGGAUCCCAUCAAAACUCCGAAGUUAAGCGUGCUUGGGCGAGAGUAGUACUAGGAUGGGUGACCUCCUGGGAAGUCCUCGUGUUGCAUUCC